rnacentral:tRNA from 1 species
CCUAGAAUAGCUCAGUUGGUUAGAACUUGUGGCUGUUAACCACAAGGUCGGAGGUUCAAGCCCUCCUUCUAGUG